CCCAAUCAGCCUUAUCCUAACCCCUGGCCAGCUCUAGCUCCGACGGCGCCAUCCAGAAACCAAGAAAGUGCCACCUGUUUCCUGCCAGGACCUUGACUGAGACCCCUAUUGCCUGGCUGCCCUAGAGCACCUUGUAAGUGCCAGAAGUUACUGGGAAGACAAGGGUGACUCUUCUCUCCAGGAAGAAUUUACACUAUCUCCUGUCCUCACAGCUGCAGAUCACAGCAGAGAACCCCAGUGCAGAAGAGAGCUCCCCAGUCAGAGAGCAAGAGGCCAUCCCCAGGGCUACAGGUAAAGAGCAGCAGGACAUCACGGAGGGCACGGCAGGGAGCAAACGCCCUGGAAACCCAGAAACGGAGACGGCCAGCGCACGCGUGAGCCUCAACACACCCAACACGGAAAUCACAGUGUCCGUGAAAGCAGCGCCUCCCCCUCUGCGCUCCCAGACUCACUGGGGACGCCCCAGCAUGCCUCAUCUGCGCCCCCUCUCCCUCGCUCAGCUCCUCCUCUGAGAGAUCGUUGUGUGUUUCUGACUUUACCUCCUCAAUCUUUCUCAAACCCAUGCCUUCCUCUCCUUCACCACUAGCUCCUGCCCUGUUUCAGGUCCUUCCGUCUCUCCCUAGAACUCCCCAUCCUCUCCUUCCCUGACUGGUCUCUACCCUGGCAAAUCUACCCUCAACAGCACAGCCACAAGAAAGCCAACCACCUGGCUCCCCUGCGGGAGACCCUCCCUGACCACCUAC